CUUCUUGAGCGGGAUACGUGUUUCUGCUCUGCAACCAAAGUUUCCCAAAAACUCCUGUGAUGAGGAUGAGGAUGAACAGAAGACCGCCCAACACAAACGUCUCCACGGAGGGCAUAUCUGAACCUGAGGUGUGUGGACUUACAGGUUGGCACAUUCCUCCAGUGUUAUGACAGAUCUGGACGUUGCAGUGAAGGAAAACAUCUGUGUAAGACCUGCCAACAAACUUGAACAUCUGUAUCCUAAAAAAAGCUUCAGAUCCUUGACCGUUCUUCAUCACAGCCAAUGUCUGGUCAUUCCAUAAGACCGGACAACUGAUUUAAAGAGAAAGGUGUAUAAUCAAACUCACCAUCUUCAACCUGAACAGCAGAAGUUAGUGUCCAUAUCGACAGCAGACUCCAGAUCAGCACAGUGACAGGUAUCAUCUUCUCUCCCCAAAUGUUUCCUCCAAAUGGUCUGGAUUAUCAGCUCAGCUAUAGCUGUCAGAGCCAGACGUAGUGUUUUCGGUCUCUCCGGCCCUUCGAUGCGCAGCUCUAAUGAAGUGGGAACCUCCACCAGUUUUGGAGCACAAGCUUGAAUGAUGUUCUCACCAACAAUGAGAUUCCAGACGUGACUGGGGGAGUCCAAGGUAACAACCACCAACUAGAUUUCGAGCAUAAAAAAUACUACCGACGUCCCACUUAGCAGACGAGGUGCUGUACUGUCUCGUGCGUUGGUCGACAAGGAGUUUGUUUGUCAUGCAAAGGGUACGGACGAGCAGGGGUGGUGUCUCGUUUUAUCUGACUCUUUUGUCUGUACAGGUUUUAAAAAGGCCAUGGCAAAAGCUUUACGGUUUCGGGAACCCCAAAGACUCUCUUGAAAAGAAAUCCCGUCACAUUGAGUCAAGGACAGUUCACUUUGCCAUGAUCUAAUUUUUUUAAAGACUGUUUGGAUAGAGAGAGGACAAUAAUUCAACCUGGUGAAGAGAUCUGAAGUAUAAGAUGGAGCUUUUAUUGGAUGAGCUUUCCGGACAUUGAAUCACAUGUCUUUUGUCUUGCAAAUGGCACCAGCUACAAUGCUUUAAAUGGUCUGUUACAACCUUCCACAUACACUAAAAAAACAGAAGAAACCUCGACAGAG